rnacentral:rRNA from 1 species
AGUUUGAUUAUGGCCUGAUUGAACGCUGGCGGGAUGCUUUACACAUGCAAGUCGAACGGCAGCACGGACUUCGGUCUGGUGGCGAGUGGCGAACGGGUGAGUAAUGUAUCGGAACGUGCCUAGUAGCGGGGAUAACUACGCGAAAGCGAGCUAACGCAUACGCCCUUCGGGAAAGCGGGGAUCUUCGGGCCUCGCACUAUUAGAGCGGCCGAUAUCGGAUUAGCUAGUUGGUGGGCAACGGCUCACCAAGGCGACGAGAUCCGUAGCUGGUUUGAGAGGACGACCAGCCACUGGGACUGACACGGCCCAGACUCCUCACGGAGGCAGCAGUAACGGACAAUGGGGAAACCCUGAUCCAGCCAUCCCGCGUGUGCGAUGAAGGCCUUCGGCUAGGAAGCACUUUUGGCAGGAAAGAAACGGCAUCGAUAAUACCUCAGAAAACUGACGGUAUUCGCAGAAUAAGCACCGGCUAACUACGUGCCAGCAGCCGCGGUAAUACGUAGGGUGUUAAUCGGAAUUACUGGGCGAAAAGCGUGCGCAGGCGGUUCGGAAAAAGAAAGAUGUGAAAUCCCAGAGCUAACUUUUGGAACUGCAUUUUUAACUACCGAGCUAGAGGUUGAUAGGUGGAAUUCCGGCGUAGCAGGAAAUGCGUAGAUAUGCGGAGGAACACUGACAUGUAGUGGCAGCCUCUGAUAACACUGACGCUCAUACUAAAGCGUAGGGAGCAAACAGGAUUAGAUACCCUGGUGAAUCUCACGCCCCCAAACGAUGUCAACUAGCUGUUGGGGCCUCGGGCCUUGGUAGCGCAUUAACGCGGUGAAGCUGACCGCCUGGGGAGUACGGUCGUAAGAUUAAACUCCAGCGAAUGACGGGGGACCCUGCACGCUGCGGAUGAUGUGAUUAAUUCGAUGCAACGCGAAAAACCUUACCUACCCUGACAUGUCUGGGAAUCCCGAAGAGAUUUGGAGCGUCGUGCGAGAACUGAACAGGUGCUGGCAUGGCUGUCGUCAGCUCGUGUCGUGGAGAUGUUGGAAGUUGUCCGCAACGAGCGCAACCCUUGUCAUUAGUUGCUACGAGCGGCACUGACGAGACUGCCGGUGACAAACCGGAGGAAGGUGGGGAUGACGUCAAGUCCUAUGGCCCUUAUGGGUAGGGCUUCACACGUCAUACAAUGGUCGGGGACAGAGGGUCGCCAACCCGCGAGGGGGUUUCUAAUCCUAGAAACCUGAUCAGUCCGGAUCGCAGUCUGCAACUCGACUGCGUGAAGUCGGAAUCGCUAGUAAUCAUGGAUCAGCAUGUCGCGGUGAAUACGUUCCCGGGUCUUGUACACACCGCCCGUCACACCAUGGAGUGGCUACCAGAUAGUUAGCCUAACCGUAAGGAGGGCGAUUACCACGGUAGGAUCUGCGACUGUGUGAAGUUUAACAAGGUAA